AUCGACGUACUUCAGUAUGUAACCGCACUAUAUGGUGGCUUCCAUAACCAAACCAAUUAUCCAACCAUUCAAUUUCCAGAGUUUCAUUAACUAACACCCUCUACAGUAGGAUCAUUUCUAUAGGAAUCGUCACUCUUUGACUCUUCAUAAGAGCCACUGAAUCCAACUUGGUUGAUGAGCGACGAAGCCCUUGUGCCCUAGAGUGAGAACCGAUGUCGCUUGGUCCACAACCCUAAGCGGUUUGGCCAUCGCAUUUUUUGCCUCUUCACAACCUUUUCAAUUUCGAUUGCUAGGGUUUCUCAGGCGCGAUGAUCUUUGCCCUUUCUUAGAUACUUCCUGGAAGCGUCGAGUUUGGGCGGGCGCAAGUGGCAGUCUGAC